GAUGAACGCUAGCGGCAGGCUUAACACAUGCAAGUCGAGGGGUAGAGGUUGCUUGCAACCUUGAGACCGGCGCACGGGUGCGUAACGCGUAUGCAACCUACCUUUUACAGAGGGAUAGCCCAGAGAAAUUUGGAUUAAUACCUCAUAGUAUAUAACCUUCGCAUGUUGGUUAUAUUAAAGUUCCAACGGUAAAAGAUGGGCAUGCGUCCUAUUAGCUAGAUGGUAAGGUAACGGCUUACCAUGGCAACGAUAGGUAGGGGUCCUGAGAGGGAGAUCCCCCACACUGGUACUGAGACACGGACCAGACUCCUAUGGGAGGCAGCAGUGAGGAAUAUUGGACAAUGGGCGCAAGCCUGAUCCAGCCAUGCCGCGUGCAGGAAGAAGCAUCUAUGGUGUGUAAACUGCUUUUGUACAGGAAGAAACACCCCGACGUGUCGGGGCUUGACGGUGCUGUAAGAAUAAGGAUCGGCUAACUCCGUGCCAGCAGCCGCAGUAA
rnacentral:rRNA from 1 species